rnacentral:rRNA from 1 species
AAGACCUUGCGCUUUUGGAGCGGCCGAUGCCUGAUUAGCUUGUUGGUAAGGUAAAAGCUUACCAAGGCUUCGAUCAGUAGCUGGUCUGAGAGGACGGCCAGCCACACUGGGACUGAGACACGGCCCAGACUCCUACGGGAGGCAGCAGUGGGGAAUUUUGGACAAUGGGGGCAACCCUGAUCCAGCCAUGCCGCGUGAGUGAAGAAGGCCUUCGGGUUGUAAAGCUCUUUCAGCUGGAACGAAACGGUUACGGUUAAUACCCGUGAUUACUGACAGUACCGGAAGAAGAAGCACCGGCUAACUACGUGCCAGCAGCCGCGGUAAUACGUAGGGUGCGAGCGUUAAUCGGAAUUACUGGGCGUAAAGCGUGCGCAGGUGGUUUUGUAAGUCAGAUGUGAAAGCCCCGGGCUCAACCUGGGAACU